rnacentral:tRNA from 1 species
AGGCCAGUGGCUCAACGGCUAGAGCAUCGCGCUCCAAACGCGAGGGUUGUGGGUUCGAAUCCCUCCUGGCCUGCCA